UGUUCAGUGGCGAAGUUGGUUAACGCUCCCUGGCUAGCAAAUUGGGGUGACGUGGGUUCAAAUCCCAUAUGAACUA
rnacentral:tRNA from 1 species